rnacentral:rRNA from 1 species
UACGUAGGGACCGAGCGUUGUCCGGAUUCAUUGGGCGUAAAGAGCUCGUAGGCGGCUGUUCAAGUCGAACGUGAAAACUCGGAGCUCAACUCCGAGCCUGCGUUCGAUACUGGACGGCUAGAGUCUGGUAGGGGGAUCUGGAAUUCCUGGUGUAGCGGUGGAAUGCGCAGAUAUCAGGAGGAACACCGGUGGCGAAGGCGGCCGCCUGGACCUGACCUGACGCCUGAGGCGCGAAGGCGCGGGGAGCGAACGGG